rnacentral:rRNA from 1 species
UCUAUGACGUUAGCGGCGGACGGGUGAGUAACACGUGGGCAACCUGCCUGUAAGACUGGGAUAACUUCGGGAAACCGAAGCUAAUACCGGAUAGGAUCUUCUCCUUCAUGGGAGAUGAUUGAAAGAUGGUUUCGGCUAUCACUUACAGAUGGGCCCGCGGUGCAUUAGCUAGUUGGUGAGGUAACGGCUCACCAAGGCAACGAUGCAUAGCCGACCUGAGAGGGUGAUCGGCCACACUGGGACUGAGACACGGCCCAGACUCCUACGGGAGGCAGCAGUAGGGAAUCUUCCGCAAUGGACGAAAGUCUGACGGAGCAACGCCGCGUGAGUGAUGAAGGCUUUCGGGUCGUAAAACUCUGUUGUUAGGGAAGAACAAGUACAAGAGUAACUGCUUGUACCUUGACGGUACCUAACCAGAAAGCCACGGCUAACUACGUGCCAGCAGCCGCGGUAAUACGUAGGUGGCAAGCGUUAUCCGGAAUUAUUGGGCGUAAAGCGCGCGCAGGCGGUUUCUUAAGUCUGAUGUGAAAGCCCACGGCUCAACCGUGGA